rnacentral:rRNA from 1 species
UACAGAGGUUGCAAGCGUUAAUCGGAAUUACUGGGCGUAAAGCGCGCGUAGGUGGCAAGUUAAGUCGGAUGUGAAAGCCCUGGGCUCAACCUAGGAAUUGCAUUCGAUACUGGCUAGCUCGAGUUUGGUAGAGGAGAGUGGAAUUCCCGGUGUAGCGGUGAAAUGCGUAGAUAUCGGGAGGAACAUCAGUGGCGAAGGCGGCUCUCUGGACCAAAACUGACACUGAGGCACGAAAGCGUGGGUAGCAAACAGG